CCUACGGGUGGCUGCAGUGGGGAAUAUUGCACAAUGGGCGCAAGCCUGAUGCAGCCAUGCCGCGUGUGUGAAGAAGGCCUUCGGGCUGUAAAGCACUUUCAGCGGGGAGGAAGGCGUUAAGGUUAAUAACCUUGUCGAUUGACGUUACCCGCAGAAGAAGCACCGGCUAACUCCGUGCCAGCAGCCGCGGUAAUACGGAGGGUGCAAGCGUUAAUCGGAAUUACUGGGCGUAAAGCGCACGCAGGCGGUCUGUCAAGUCGGAUGUGAAAUCCCCGGGCUCAACCUGGGAACUGCAUUCGAAACUGGCAGGCUAGAGUCUUGUAGAGGGGGGUAGAAUUCCAGGGGUAGCGGUGAAAUGCGUAGAGAUCUGAGGAAUACCGGUGGCGAAGGCGGCCCCCUGGACAAAGACUGACGCUCAGGUGCGAAAGCGUGGGGAGCAAACAGGAUUAGAUACCCGAGUAGUC
rnacentral:rRNA from 1 species